GCUGAGGCUGUCAGACUUGCAACCAUCUCUGCAGUCUGUCUGUGCCGGUUUGCCAUGGUUUGGAGCUCUGCCCCAGAGGGUUGUUCUGAGCUGCCUUUGAAGAGGUCUGCUGCAAAUGAAGCCCUGCAGCUGAGCAAGGGCAGAGGCCACCAAGCUCAGCAGGAGCCAGCAGUGUGCACUUGUGGCUGAGAAGGCCAGCAGGAUGCUGGGCCGCAUGCCGAGUGUGAGCAGCAGGUUGCGGGAGGUUCUCCUGCCCCUGUGCUCUGUCUUAGCGAGGCCAGCCCUGGGGUGCUGAGUCCAGUUGUGGGCUCACCAGUUGAGGAGAGGCAGGAAACUACUGGAGAGAGUCCAGUGGAGGUGCCAGAGGUGCUGAGGGACCUGGAGCAGCUGUGUGAGGAGGAAAGGCCUCUCCUCAUAGGGUUUGUGUUCCAGGCCCCUCCCCAGCUUUGCUGCCCUUCUCUGGACACCUUCCAGCACCUCGACAUUUCCCCUGAAUUGAGGAGCCCACAACUGGACACAGUACUCAAAGUGUGGCCUGAGCAGUGCUGAGCACAAGGGCAGAAGAACCUCCCUUGUCCUGUUGGCCACACUGCUCCUGAGCCAGCCCAGGAUGCUGUUGGCUCUGCUGCCCACCUGGGCACACUGCUGCCUCCUCUUCAGGUCCUCUCUCCCAGCACCCCCAGGGCCCUCUCUGCCUGUCUGCUCUGAGCCACUCUGUCCCCAGCCUGCAGUGCUGCUCGGGGUUGUUGUGGCCAAAGUGCAGAACCCUGCCCUUGGCCUUGUUCAAUCUCAUCCCUCUAUUAAAUGUGGCCUCUGUUAAAUUAACUUCUCUAUUACAACUGUAACUUAGGUUUUCCUUAGUUAACUCUGCAGGGCAUUAGGCACAUUCAAAGUUAUGUCAGUUUGUAACUGGGGCUGUAAAGAAUGGUUAUGCAUUGCCUGUGCUUCUGAUUUCAGGAGAGUCCCAUUUCAUUCUUGAUGCUUUCUUUAAGAGAGGCAUACAACUGAGCUCCCUCAGAGAAGCAGCAUGAAGUGCAUGAAGGAUGCUGGCUGCACUCAGUACAGACAAGGCACAUUGGAGUAGGUUAACAAGAUGCUUGACAUUUGCCCUUAAUGGUCAUUGUCUUCAAAUGCAUCAUUCGGGAGUGAAGUUGCUUGGCAUUUGCAGUUGACUACUUCUUCUCUGGCCUUUGGAGUGAAGGAAGGGAAAAACCAGAGUUGAAGAUGUCAGCUCUGUAAGUUUUCUCUGGGUGAUCAAAGCAUGCACAACAUCCUGUGCUUGUGCUCUGGAAGAUUCUAGGAGCUUCACGGGGACUCAGGGAGCACAAGUUCUGGAUUUCUGUGGGCUGUCUCUAGAUGAACACCUGAGUGCAGUGAAUCUAAAAGCAGCUGUCUCUCAUUUGAAGUUAAAGUGAUGUGACUGAUCUGGUGCUUUAUAGGUGCCAAAAAGGAGACCUUCUUCACCUGCUUCUCCUGUGCAGGCUCUUCUGUCUGUCUGCUGAGAUGUUUCUGGCUGUUUCUCUGGCAGAGAAGUGUUUGCUUUUUGGGCUGGCGAGCUGACCAUCCGUACUACCGUCGCCUUGAAUGCCUCCAACCAGCAGUGUUCGCUGCCAGACAGACACCUGGAGAAGACAGAGGACAUGGUUAAGUUCAUGAAGGAUAUCUUGGAUGGUGCUGCUGAAGCACAGGCUGGUGAUGGACUUCUGCAACGAAGCAAGAGAGUCCUCUAUGAGGCCAAGGCUGCUGUAAUGGAGGUUGGAUCCUCGAAGGUUUUGCUCUGGGUUCUGCGAUGGAGGCAAAGAUGGAGCAGGAGCACCAACUGGAGCUGGUAACGGACCAGCAGCAGCAGCUGAUAAACCAAGAGCAAGUGCGACUGAAAGAGCUUUGCAGAAAGCAGGAGUCAGCCACCUGCCACCCAUCCCCUCCUGACCCCAACCCCAGAAACCCAAAGCAGCACUUGGCACAGGAGGUCUCUCGUGUUGCAGUCUCAACUUCAAGCCCUGGAAUACUUUGCUUCAGCCAGCAGCAUGGGGUUGGAUACCAACAGCAGAGUCGACUUAACCUGUGACUAAGUGAACUUUAAGUGUUCUGACUCCACAGUAGAACCUGAUAAAGAAAGAUGUGAAUGGAAGCAGGCUCUGACUGCUCUGUGUAACUGAUGAGAAGCUUUCUGAAGGAGGUGAAUUUGUUUUACAGCCCUUCCCUCAGCUGGUUACAGAUCUUCAAGGUAGCUGCUGGUGCAGUGUCUGUUGGAGACUGUUAGCCACUCUGAAGGAGGGAGUUAGUGGAGCAUCAUAGGACCAUGUAGAGAGAUUGGUCAGGAAAAGGCAUUUGUGUUACCCUUUUGAGUCAUUUGAGUCACUUUUAUUGUAAUCCCAUGGCUGAGAGCAGGACUCCUUUGUGUCCAGGGUUAAAAUCUUCAAGGAGAAACAGUGCCAAGGCUCUGAAUUGAUUGGGACUUGGUGCUGCUAGUUACAAUGUAGGACAGUUAAGGCAGUCCUAUGUUUUGUGAUUUGCCUUUUUUCCUGCCGUUCUAGUUUUGGCUCGGGCUAGUGUGAAGUGUCUCUGGAACGAGGUCCUUGUGGUCCCUUCUGACCCUGACUGAUUCUGUGAUUCCAGCAAGCAGCUUUUGACUUAAAAACCCCUGAGGUCACUGCAGCACCUCUCUAUGGAAUAAAAGAAAGGGAUUUUGCUGCACUGCUGAGAA